rnacentral:rRNA from 1 species
GUCUUUUAGAAAAUAAUUUAAAGUCUAGCCUGCCCACUGAAUUAUUUUGAAGGGCCGCAGUAUUUUGACUGUGCAAAGGUAGCAUAAUCAUUAGUCUUUUAAUUGAAGGCUUGUAUGAAUGGUUGGAUGAAAUAUUAACUGUCUCAAAUUAAUAAGAUAGAAUUUAAUUUUUAAGUUAAAAAGCUUAAAUAUAAUUAGAGGACGAGAAGACCCUAUAGAGCUUAAUAUUUUUAUUUUUAAUUUUUAUUUAGGUAUAAAGAUAUUUUUAAUAAUAAUAAUAUUUUAUUGGGGUGAUAACUAAAUUUAUAUAACUUUAUUUAAUAUAAACAUUAAUUUAUGAAUAAUUGAUCCAUUAUUAGUGAUUAGAAGAUUAAGUUACCUUAGGGAUAACAGCGUAAUUUUUUUAGAGAGUUCUUAUCGAUAAAAAAGUUUGCGACCUCGAUGUUGAAUUAAAGAUUAAUUUAGGUGCAGUAGUUUAAAUGUUUGGUCUGUUCGACCAUUAAAUC